GUGAAAUGGGGGUUGUUCUUUUUCUCGCUUCACGCUAUUUUUAACACUGCUCUAACCAUGUGAAUGCCAGCAGCUAAAAAGAUCUUUAACAAAAGUAGGCACUCUAACCAUGUGAAUGCCAGCAGCCGAAAAGAUCUUUAACAGAAGUAGGCAUCACUGAACAAUCCAAAGGAUGUUAGAGAGAUAAGCUUUGCGGAAGUACAUAAAAGGUGCCCUGAUGUUUCCACACCCCUCUCACAUGAGACACCUGCCACAUAAAUUCAUUCCCCUCUUCAUCAGAUUCCGUUUGACCUGUAGAUCAUGGGUUAGAGCCGUCAGCCACUAAUGCUUGCAUUAGGGUAGACUAUCUACAUCACACCCCUUAGGGUGCGGCACUUCCCCGGGCCCUAUGCGAACACGGGAUACCUUCUGCACCGGCUGUCUUUCAUUGAUGAGUCAAUAGACUCAAUAUCGCACCAUGGGCUCAACAGAAACAGCCUAGCUUAUAUGGAGACCUUGUUCUCUGGAUUCUUCUCCAUGGCCAUGGCCACUCUACUGUGUUGAUUGAAGAGGCUACCAAGCUUUUGGAGCGGCUAUUAACAGAGGAAAUAGCAUUUCUUGAGAACCAAAUUAAAGUAUCAGAUUCCCCAACUAACUCCCAGGGCUUCCAACUCUUCCCAAACAGUUGCAGCACCCAUUGAAACCCCCAAUCAUUAUAAUCCCUUAUAAAUCUAAUAGUCCACCCAAACUAGUGCCCAGUGGCAUCAGCAUGUUCAGCAAAUCUGGAAUUUGAUCUUGUAAAGGUGUGUGAUCCGUCCAUGUGUCAUGCCAAUUAAUUUUCCAUUUACCAAUUUUAACUUGAACACAGCAAAGAACAUCCCAAUGUUCUGUGAUGUGCUUUCAAACCCCAAUUCCAUAAGGUCUCUGAACCACUUUAGGGUACCACGGGUCUCAUGGGUCGUGGGCCUCGUGACCCUAUUUUUCUACCAAAACUUUUCUCCAAAGAGCCCCUUCUCCAAAAUUGAACCUCCAAAGUGAUUUGUACAGCAA
rnacentral:lncRNA from 1 species